UACGUAGGGGGCGAGCGUUAUCCGGAAUUAUUGGGCGUAAAGAGUACGUAGGUGGCCACCUAAGCGCAAGGUGAAAGCCCGGGGCUUAACUCCGGCGAGCCUUGUGAACUGGGCGGCUUGAGUGCAGGAGGGGAAAGUGGAAUUCCUGGUGUAGCGGUGAAAUGCGUAGAUAUCAGGAGGAACACCGGUGGCGAAGGCGACUUUCUGGACUGUAACUGACACUGAGGUACGAAAGCGUGGGGAGCAAACA
rnacentral:rRNA from 1 species